GGCCUUUGGCUCGCACUCUCAGCCAGGCAUGUUUGGUCUUGGCAGGUCAUUUGGGAUUCCAGACGGGAGUCCCUAGAUCUAUCCUUAUGUUCAUCAGUCUUUAAUGAAUGAAGUUGGUUUUGGCAUCCAGAUGGAACACAGCUGGAAAGUGAUGGGGGCAGAAAGUUUGUCCUGAUAUGUUAUCUUAGAAGAUUGAAAGGUCAUUUGGGCCCAAGAGGUGUCAAGGAGAAAGUGGCAUUUGACAUAGGACUUUGAGGAUGGAGAGGUGUGCUGCCAGUUGAGC